rnacentral:tRNA from 1 species
UGUUUUGUGGUGUAGUUGAUUAACAUACUAAGUCUAGCGAAUUGGGGUGACGUGGGUUCAAUUCUCACCAGAACCA